UUCCGUUGAUGAAGCGGCAUCAACGAAGAGCCAAGCGGGGCUGAUAGA
rnacentral:sRNA from 12 species